UACAGAGGGGGCAAGCGUUAUUCGGAAUUAUUUGGGCGUAAAGGGCGCGUAGGCGGUCCUUCAAGUCUCUCGUGAAAUCCCUCGGCUUAACUGAGGACGUGCGGGAGAUACUGCUGGGCUUGAGUCCGGAAGAGGGGUGGUGGAAUUCCCAGUGUAGCGGUGAAAUGCGUAGAUAUUGGGAGGAACACCGGUGGCGAAGGCGGCCACCCUGGGCCGGAACUGACGCUGAGGCGCGAAAGCGUGGGGAGCAAACGGG
rnacentral:rRNA from 1 species